UACAGAGGGUGCAAGCGUUGUUCGGAAUUAUUGGGCGUAAAGAGCGUGUAGGCGGUCCGGUAAGUCCGCUGUGAAAGUCGGGGGCUCAACCCUCGAAUGCCGGUGGAUACUGUCGGGCUAGAGUGCGGAAGAGGCGAGUGGAAUUCCUGGUGUAGCGGUGAAAUGCGCAGAUAUCAGGAGGAACACCUAUUGCGAAGGCAGCUCGCUGGGACGUAACUGACGCUGAGACGCGAAAGCGUGGGGAGCAAACAGG
rnacentral:rRNA from 1 species